rnacentral:rRNA from 1 species
AGCAGCCGCCGUAAUUCCAGCUCCAAUAGCGUAUAUUAAAGUUGUUGCAGUUAAAAAGCUCGUAGUUGAAUUUCGGGAUUGACGUGAUGGUCGUGCCUUACGGGGUAUGAACUGUCGCUGUUGAUUUCUCACCUUCUGGAGAAACUUGAUGUCCUUAAUUGGGUGUCUUGCGGAUCCAGGACCUUUACCUUGAAAAAUUAGAGUGUUUAAAGCAGGCAUUUUGCUCGAAUACAUUAGCAUGGAAUAAUAGAAUAGGACGGCAUGGUUCUAUUUUGUUGGUUUCUAGGAUCACCGUAAUGAUUAAUAGGGAUAGUUGGGGGCAUUAGUAUUCAAUUGUCAGAGGUGAAAUUCUUGGAUUUAUUGAAGACUGACUACUGCGAAAGCAUUUGCCAAGGAUGUUUUCAUUAAUCAAGAACGAAAGUUAGGGGAUCGAAGACGAUCAGAUACCGUCGUAGUCUUAACCAUAAACUAUAGCCGACUAGGAAUCAGACGAUGUUAAUUUUUAAUGACUUCGG